rnacentral:rRNA from 1 species
UGCCAGCAGCCGCGGUAAUACGAAGGGGGCUAGCGUUGUUCGGAAUUACUGGGCGUAAAGAGCAUGUAGGCGGAUGAAUUAGUCAGAUGUGAAAGCCCCGGGCUCAACCUGGGAACUGCACCUGAUACUGCCAGUCUUGAGUACAGUAGAGGGCAGUGGAAUUUCCUGUGUAGCGGUGAAAUGCGUAGAUAUAGGAAGGAACACCAGUGGCGAAGGCGACUGCCUGGACUGAUACUGACACUGAGGUGCGAAAGCGUGGGGAGCAAACAGGAUUAGAUA